UGACUCUGGGAUAAGCGCUGGAAACGGCGUCUAAUACUGGAUAUGUGACGUGACCGCAUGGUCUGCGUCUGGAAAGAAUUUCGGUUGGGGAUGGGCUCGCGGCCUAUCAGCUUGUUGGUGAGGUAAUGGCUCACCAAGGCGUCGACGGGUAGCCGGCCUGAGAGGGUGACCGGCCACACUGGGACUGAGACACGGCCCAGACUCCUACGGGAGGCAGCAGUGGGGAAUAUUGCACAAUGGGCGCAAGCCUGAUGCAGCAACGCCGCGUGAGGGACGACGGCCUUCGGGUUGUAAACCUCUUUUAGCAGGGAAGAAGCGAAAGUGACGGUACCUGCAGAAAAAGCGCCGGCUAACUACGUGCCAGCAGCCGCGGUAAUACGUAGGGCGCAAGCGUUAUCCGGAAUUAUUGGGCGUAAAGAGCUCGUAGGCGGUUUGUCGCGUCUGCUGUGAAAUCCGGAGGCUCAACCUCCGGCCUGCAGUGGGUACGGGCAGACUAGAGUGCGGUAGGGGAGAUUGGAAUUCCUGGUGUAGCGGUGGAAUGCGCAGAUAUCAGGAGGAACACCGAUGGCGAAGGCAGAUCUCUGGGCCGUAACUGACGCUGAGGAGCGAAAGGGUGGGGAGCAAACAGGCUUAGAUACCCUGGUAGUCCACCCCGUAAACGUUGGGAACUAGUUGUGGGGUCCAUUCCACGGAUUCCGUGACGCAGCUAACGCAUUAAGUUCCCCGCCUGGGGAGUACGGCCGCAAGGCUAAAACUCAAAGGAAUUGACGGGGACCCGCAC
rnacentral:rRNA from 1 species